rnacentral:tRNA from 1 species
AAAUAAGAAACAAUUAAUGUAUUUAGUUUCGACCUAAAAAUAAGAUUUUAACAAAUCCUUAUUUU